rnacentral:rRNA from 1 species
UACAGAGGUCCCGAGCGUUGUUCGGAUUCACUGGGCGUAAAGGGUGCGUAGGUGGCGAGGUAAGUCGGAUGUGAAAGCUCGGAGCUCAACUCCGAAAUGGCAUUGGAAACUACCUUGCUCGAGGGUUGGAGGGGGGACUGGAAUACUUGGUGUAGCAGUGAAAUGCGUAGAUAUCAAGUGGAACACCAGUGGCGAAGGCGGCUUGCCAGAACGCACUCGACGGUGAGGGAUGAAAGCUGGGGGAGCAAACCGG